rnacentral:rRNA from 1 species
UAUUGCACAAUGGGCGCAAGCCUGAUGCAGCGACGCCGCGUGAGGGAUGACGGCCUUCGGGUUGUAAACCUCUUUCACCACCGACGAAGCAGAAGUGACGGUAGGUGGGGAAGAAGCGCCGGCCAACUACGUGCCAGCAGCCGCGGUAAGACGUAGGGCGCGAGCGUUGUCCGGAUUUAUUGGGCGUAAAGAGCUCGUAGGCGGCUCGUCGCGUCGGCUGUGAAAACCUGCCGCUCAACGGUAGGCGUGCAGCUGAUACGGGCGGGCUAGAGUUCGGUAGGGGAGACUGGAAUUCCUGGUGUAGCGGUGAAAUGCGCAGAUAUCAGGAGGAACACCGGUGGCGAAGGCGGGUCUCUGGGCCGAUACUGACGCUGAGGAGCGAAAGCGCGGGGAGCGAAC